GGGGAAUAUUGCACAAUGGGGGAAACCCUGAUGCAGCAACGCCGCGUGGGUGAAGAAGGCCUUCGGGUUGUAAAGCUCUGUCUUCUGGGACGAUAAUGACGGUACCAGAGGAGGAAGCCACGGCUAACUACGUGCCAGCAGCCGCGGUAAUACGUAGGUGGCAAGCGUUGUCCGGAUUUACUGGGCGUAAAGGGAGCGUAGGCGGAUAUUUAAGUCAGAUGUGAAAUACCCGAGCUUAACUUGGGUGCUGCAUUUGAAACUGGAUAUCUGGAGUGCAGGAGAGGAAAGUGGAAUUCCUAGUGUAGCGGUGAAAUGCGUAGAGAUUAGGAAGAACACCAGUGGCGAAGGCGACUUUCUGGACUGUAACUGACGCUGAGGCUCGAAAGCGUGGGGAGCAAAC
rnacentral:rRNA from 1 species